AAAGGCAAAUCUACUUCCAUAUUCUUCUCUAACACUCCUCUAUUUUGGUUGCUAAUGUCCACUUUUUUAUAUCAACUUUGUAAUAGUUUAUCAUUUUAAUUUUCUUCUUUAGAUGAGGAGACCUCCACAUGUUUCCCCAUCAUUUCCCCACAUCUUCUUUAUCUUAUCAAUUAAAUUAUCAGUUUUUUUUCUAACUUUUUUUCUCCACAUGGGGUUUGCUCAAAACAGUUAGGUCUAAUUAUCUGAGUUAAUGUAAAGUGUAAGCAAGAAUAAUAAUAUUCUUAGUGGGGAGAUAAGAAUUUUACCCAAUUUGAAGAAUAUAAUGCUUAGGGGGACCAUGUCAAAAAUAUAAGGUAUCCUUUUUUUAUGCUGAUCUGUCCUCUUUUUCUUUCUUUAUUUUCAUUUUUCUAGCAUUAUAAUGUGGAAAAUCAGGAUGCAGCCACCAAUGUCUCUCAGUAGGGGAAGUCCAUAAAUACAUGAGAAUAUCAAUAAGAAAAAAAAUAGAGUCAAAUGCAAAUUGAGAUCCUCAGCACUAUCUGAACUUGUUAUCUUGAGCAUUGAAGGAUGUGGAGGAAGAAGAAGAAGAAGAUAGCGGUUACAGGUACCUCCUUCUAGCAUGGAGAAUAGCUCCCUCUUCCUUCUCUAAUGGAUGAGGGAGAGAAAACUAAGGCAAGUCAUGCAGGCAAAGGGAAGGCAAUGCCUUUCUUCCAGCUUUGUUGUUUCCACUUAUUGUAUCGAUUCUGAUACAGUAAGUCGGUAAGUAUUGGUCGUCAAGUUUGUUUUCUGUCGUUUCUUUGUGUCCUUCUAUUUCAUGUUUGUUAGUUGCAAUUUGACUGCGUAUAGUACCAAUAGCAGAAGACUCUGCAAUUUGAUUGUGUAUAGCAGAGAGACAAGAGGGCAAAAGCUGCAAUAUAUCAGGUACCAAAUGAACUGGGAAGUGAAACACUCUUGUUGUUUUUCUUUUCAUUAUUUUGGGUCAGAAAGACUUUCGUUUGGAGGAAUGAAUAAUAAGCUGCUGUCUGUUAAGUUGCCCUCUAUAUAAUACAUACAUAUAUAUACAUAUAUAUAUUUCCCUUUUGUUGGGUUUGAGUUGCUGCUAUUGUACACAAAUACCAAAAGUAGCUAUUUUUGAAUCUUUAUAUGCAUGAAGUGAUAUCUGCAUAGAUUGCUUCAACAGUAUGGGAUUCGCGCCGUGUACCGAAACUUUUGUGAUGAAAAGUAUUAGUCUUUGCCCAUUUGGGACUGCUUCUAAAAUGUUUUAUACAGCUUUUAUGAUUAUAUGACCAUAUGUUUGGCUAAAAAUAUCAAAAACUUAUCCACUUUCUUGGAAACCACUCGUCUGGAAGUAGCACUUCUAGCCAAAACAUUCCUAAAACAUAUAAAAUUUGUUGGGAAUUCAAUUUACCAAAGCAACAUCAAUCAAUUAGAGCUAGAGAAAGUGAUCUAUGCGUUUAUCAUUAAUGUUGCUCGACUUGGGUUUUUACUUCAAUUUUGAAUAGAGCUAGACAUUUUUAUUCUUUUUAGUAAGCAAAAUAACAAAAUAAAGUUGCAAGUUGACUGAAAUCACCCUAUGACAAGUAGUGAAUUAGUCUUAAAUUCCAUUUGUCAGAUCAACACACAGAUAUCCCUUGACCAAGCAAGUCCGCCAAUGUGAAUAGAGCAAGAGAUUUUUCUCCGGAAGCAGAAUAACAGAAUAAAGUUGCAAGUUGACUGAAACACCUAAUGACACGUAGUGAAGCGGUCUUCAAUUCCAUUUGUCAAAUCAAAAUAUAGUGCUACAAUGCUAUCGCAUAUUUUUCUUGCUUCUAUACAAGAUACUUCUUGACCAAGCAAGUCCUCCAUCAGAAUAAAACAAUCAAAAAGGUCAAAUACGAGCCCGAGAUCACGAAGAAAAAUGUCAGUGAUAAUAUCUUCUUAACCUGGUGUGAUACCAACUAUUUACGUAACUAAUCCGAAAGCAGCACAUGAAUUUAAUUUACUACAAAAGCAAACACAGUAAGAGAAAGGCUUUAGCAGCGCAAUUUACAGCCAAGAUGUAGAACUAAGUGAGAACUGACGCAGGUCAAAAGUUAUGACUCUUAUUAAACUGACAAAUCCAUAUAAGCCAAAACAAUUACUGGUCAAACACAUGAACAAAAAUUUUCACCGUCCACGACAUGUUCAAAGAAAAGAAUACUAUCUCCGGAACGCAAUCUACAAACCAACUAUGCUCCAGAUCAUGCACAGACCAGACCAUAGCGACAGAAAAGCAGCAAGCAACCACAUAUAUAUUAAAAGGGCAAAAAAAUGAAAAAAAAAAAAAUGUCUGCAAUAUCUGAAUCCCUUUAUAGUAGUUGUAGAAAAUACAUAAAACAAAAAGGAUAAAUACCUUUCACCUUGCUGUUCUCUUUCUUUUCAAAAUGUGAUAACUGUUAGUUUCUCAACAUUUAGAUCCGAAUAACAUAAAUGAAAACUCUCCGGCUACAAAAUCAUGUACCCCAUACCCCAUGGGGGAAUAACCAUCUAUCAUAUAACUUAAAUAA